rnacentral:rRNA from 1 species
UACAGAGGGUGCAAGCGUUGUUCGGAAUCAUUGGGCGUAAAGGGCGCGUAGGCGGUUUUGUAAGUCGGAUGUGAAAGCCCAGGGCUCAACCUUGGAAGUGCAUCCGAAACUGCGAAGCUGGAGUCUUGGAGAGGGUGGUAGAAUUCCCAGUGUAGAGGUGAAAUUCGUAGAUAUUGGGAGGAAUACCGGUGGCGAAGGCGACCACCUGGACGAAGACUGACGCUGAGGCGCGAGAGCGUGGGGAGCAAACAGG